AGCGAACGCUGGCGGCAGGCCUAACACAUGCAAGUCGAACGAACUCUUCGGAGUUAGUGGCGGACGGGUGAGUAACACGUGGGAACGUGCCCUUAGGUUCGGAAUAACUCAGGGAAACUUGUGCUAAUACCGAAUGUGCCCUUCGGGGGAAAGAUUUAUCGCCUUUAGAGCGGCCCGCGUCUGAUUCGCUAGUUGGUGAGGUAAAGGCUCGCCAAGGCGACGUUCAGUAGCUGGUCUGGGAGGAUGAUCAGCCACAUUGGGACUGAGACACGGCCCAAACUCCGACGGAAGGCAGCAGUGGGGAAUCUUGCGCAAGGGGCGAAGGCCUGACGCAGCCAUGCCGCGUGAAUGAUGAAGGUCUUAGGAUUGUAAAAUUCUUUCACCGGGGACGAUAAUGACGGUACCCGGAGAAGAAGCCCCGGCUAACUACGUG
rnacentral:rRNA from 1 species